CCGUAAACCCAGUGACAACACUCAGGUCUGCAGCUGCCAUUUUCUGUUGGGAAAGAGAAAUGGCCCUGCAUUUACCAGAAAAGGUAGCUCAUCCACCAUGGCAGAAGAGGAAGAUCCAGAAUGUUGAUUGGGAAACAAGAACAAUGAGACAUGAAGAUUGGGUGUUGAGGGACCACUUGUCACAUUAUACAAGGAGUGCAUCCUUCAGACUAUCCGGUGCAUGAACAUCCUGUGCCAGUGUGAUCCGAGCGCGAGCGUCAAGUUGUGGAGACUACAGCACAUCGAGCCUGUGGACGGACAGACAUGAGGCGUGACAUGUGGAACAUCAGCUCACCCCACGAGAAGCAGUGCAUGAUCAACGCCACCCUCAGCAAGGAUAUCCGCUGGAUGUGAAGUACUCUCUCACUCUUGGGGUAAGACAUAAUUUAAACAUCACAGAUAUAAAUUCCCACAGUGCCCAUGAUAAAAUGCAAUGUGAAUUGUGUUGUACUACUGAAUGAAACUGAGGAGAUGAACUCAGACCAGCCUUUGUGAUUGAACUUGUGUUAACUACUGUCAUGUCCACUCCCGCUCCCCUGCUCAGGCACUCGACGUCACCGGUCUACUAACCACCGGUCCUGGCAACCCAUCUUUACGCACACCUGGCAACCAUCAUUACGCACACCUGCGUCUCAUUAUCAGUCACACCUGGACUUCAUUACUCCCUUGAUUACUUACCCUUUAUAUUGCACUCUUUUGUUAUCAGUCAUCAGGUAGUAUUGUUUAUGUUUCUAUGUCAGACGCAAUUAUUGUUUUGUAUUGCUCCGUGUUCGUUAUUAUUAAACUCACUAACUGCACCUGU